rnacentral:lncRNA from 1 species
AUGGUGGCCCGUCUCUGCUGGUACGCUGCUGGAUUCAAAGUGAUUUCUUGGGUUGGAACCAAGGGCUCACCGUGGGUCCUCCCUGAGCUUUGCCCAGGACCAGUUUCAGGUGGAGAGAGAGCAGCAGAUGGGCUUCCAGACACGCCCCUGCCUGCUUGUGAGGUCUCCAAGGAGAGGCUGGCUAUCACCUGCCCCAGCUCUGGCAGAUGGUGCUCAGGACCCAAGAGCACAGAGGCAGGGUUCGAGCAGAGGGUGGGGCUGGCCAGGGGCAAAAGGGGGGUAGGGGGAAGAGGACUCCAAAAUUCUGGAGGGAAUUCUCUCUCUCUCUCUCUCUCUCUCUCUCUCUCUCUCUCUCUCUCUCUGUUUCUCUCUCCUGCCUUAGUCUCUGUCUCUGUCUCUCUCUCCUGCCUCAGUCUUUGUCUCUGUCUUUCUCUUUCUCCGUCUCUUUCUCUGUCUCCCUCUGUCUCUGCGUCUCUGUGUCUCUCUCUCUGUCUCUGUCGCUGUCUCUGUCUCUCUCUGUCUCUGUCUCUCUGUCUCUCCCUCCCUCCCUUCCUCUGUCUCUCUCUGUCUGUCUCUGUCUCUCUGUCUCUGUCUCUCUGUCUCUAUCCCUCCUUCCCUCUUUCCCUCCCUCCCUCCCUCCCUCCCUUCCUCCCUCCCUCCCUCUGUCUGUCUCUCUGUCUCUACCUUGCCAGAACUGAACAUUACAAAACCUGGUGGAAGCCAAGACCUCCUCCUGCUGCACCCCUGGCCUCACCUCUGGGCUUCAGGAUCGCCAGGAAGGCGGGAGGCUGUGUGGUUCACUGGGUUUCAGAGUCAGAGGCUUUGGGUUCGAACUUGGGCCUGGCUACUCGGUCCUCUGUGGCCUUGGGGCAGUCCCUUAUCUGGUCCCGGCCUCCAAUGUCUACCCUGCACAAUGAGGCAAUUCCACGGCGUGUCAGAGAUCGGACCCUACGGAGGGGACUUUGGGCAAGCAGGUGGCUUUCUGAACUCAGAGUGGGGGGUCCUUUGCGUGUGGAGCUCUCUGCGGGGGGGGGCUCCUGGCUGGCUUUGCUCGCCCCCUUCCUUCUCCACGCUGGGCCCUUGCUUCGGUCUUGCUGA